rnacentral:rRNA from 1 species
GAUGAACGCUGGCGGCGUGCCUAAUACAUGCAAGUCGAGCGAACAGACGAGGAGCUUGCUCCUCUGACGUUAGCGGCGGACGGGUGAGUAACACGUGGAUAACCUACCUAUAAGACUGGGAUAACUUCGGGAAACCGGAGCUAAUACCGGAUAAUAUAUUGAACCGCAUGGUUCAAUAGUGAAAGACGGUUUUGCUGUCACUUAUAGAUGGAUCCGCGCCGCAUUAGCUAGUUGGUAAGGUAACGGCUUACCAAGGCGACGAUGCGUAGCCGACCUGAGAGGGUGAUCGGCCAUACUGGAACUGAGACACGGUCCAGACUCCUACGGGAGGCAGCAGUAGGGAAUCUUCCGCAAUGGGCGAAAGCCUGACGGAGCAACGCCGCGUGAGUGAUGAAGGUCUUCGGAUCGUAAAACUCUGUUAUUAGGGAAGAACAAAUGUGUAAGUAACUAUGCACGUCUUGACAGUACCUAAUCAGAAAGCCACGGCUAACUACGUG